CUCGUCCGCUCGCCCAUAUCCAGGGGCGGAGUUUCACGAGGGCGUCCCGAAACCCAGGCGAGGAAAGGGACGGGAAGAAGUCGCCGCCUCGUCAGCCCACCCUGGCGCACGUGACCCUCGCCGUCCGCGACCGACAACUUCGCACACGGCGCGGGGGUCGGUGUGGGGCUUCCCUGUUCCUAAUUUUUCUUCAUCCUUAUCUCUCGCCGCGAAGGUUGCACUGGGGACGCUGCCUAACGACUGCAUCACAGACCAAACUUUUCCCAGCAGUGGAAGCAUUUAUAAGCAGCAGCGUCAAGGGUUGAUUGAGAAGAUACAGAAGAGGUUUUGAUGCUGAGCACUGGUUCAAACUAAGUUUUAUUCCCCAAACAUCUUAAUAGAAACAGGUGGUAUGCCAGCUACUUAUUUCUUCACUGAAUUAUUAUUGCUCAGUAGGUAGCAAAACAAUUAAGGUAGGAAACCAGAGGGUGUCCAUAUGUUCUUCAACAAAAUUUAAUAAAUGAACUAGAAAAACA